rnacentral:rRNA from 1 species
UUAUUGAAAGGUGCUUGCAUCUUGAUUUAAUUUUGAACGAGUGGCGGACGGGUGAGUAACACGUGGGUAACCUGCCCUUAAGUGGGGGAUAACAUUUGGAAACAGAUGCUAAUACCGCAUAAAUCCAAGAACCGCAUGGUUCUUGGCUGAAAGAUGGCGUAAGCUAUCGCUUUUGGAUGGACCCGCGGCGUAUUAGCUAGUUGGUGAGGUAACGGCUCACCAAGGCAAUGAUACGUAGCCGAACUGAGAGGUUGAUCGGCCACAUUGGGACUGAGACACGGCCCAAACUCCUACGGGAGGCAGCAGUAGGGAAUCUUCCACAAUGGACGCAAGUCUGAUGGAGCAACGCCGCGUGAGUGAAGAAGGCUUUCGGGUCGUAAAACUCUGUUGUUGGAGAAGAAUGGUCGGCAGAGUAACUGUUGUCGGCGUGACGGUAUCCAACCAGAAAGCCACGGCUAACUACGUGCCAGCAGCCGCGGUAAUACGUAGGUGGCAAGCGUUAUCCGGAUUUAUUGGGCGUAAAGCGAGCGCAGGCGGUUUUUUAAGUCUGAUGUGAAAGCCCUCGGCUUAACCGAGGAAGUGCAUCGGAAACUGGGAAACUUGAGUGCAGAAGAGGACAGUGGAACUCCAUGUGUAGCGGUGAAAUGCGUAGAUAUAUGGAAGAACACCAGUGGCGAAGGCGGCUGUCUGGUCUGUAACUGACGCUGAGGCUCGAAAGCAUGGGUAGCGAACAGGAUUAGAUACCCUGGUAGUCCAUGCCGUAAACGAUGAAUGCUAGGUGUUGGAGGGUUUCCGCCCUUCAGUGCCGCAGCUAACGCAUUAAGCAUUCCGCCUGGGGAGUACGACCGCAAGGUUGAAACUCAAAGGAAUUGACGGGGGCCCGCACAAGCGGUGGAGCAUGUGGUUUAAUUCGAAGCAACGCGAAGAACCUUACCAGGUCUUGACAUCUUUUGAUCACCUGAGAGAUCAGGUUUCCCCUUCGGGGGCAAAAUGACAGGUGGUGCAUGGUUGUCGUCAGCUCGUGUCGUGAGAUGUUGGGUUAAGUCCCGCAACGAGCGCAACCCUUAUGACUAGUUGCCAGCAUUUAGUUGGGCACUCUAGUAAGACUGCCGGUGACAAACCGGAGGAAGGUGGGGAUGACGUCAAAUCAUCAUGCCCCUUAUGACCUGGGCUACACACGUGCUACAAUGGAUGGUACAACGAGUUGCGAGACCGCGAGGUCAAGCUAAUCUCUUAAAGCCAUUCUCAGUUCGGACUGUAGGCUGCAACUCGCCUACACGAAGUCGGAAUCGCUAGUAAUCGCGGAUCAGCACGCCGCGGUGAAUACGUUCCCGGGCCUUGUACACACCGCCCGUCACACCAUGAGA